rnacentral:rRNA from 1 species
AGAGUGCGUAACAGCUCACUAGUCGAGGAGUCGGGCGUGGAUAAUAAUCGGGUAUCAAGUUGUCUACCGAAGCAGUGGGAUCAUUUAUAUGAUCGGUAGGGGAGCAUUCCAGUCAGCGUCGAAGGCGUACCGUGAGGUAUUCUGGAGCGUCUGGAAAAGCAAAUGUAGGUAUAAGUAACGAUAAAGGGGGCGGGAAACCCCCUCGCCGAAAGACUAAGGUUUCCUGAUCAACGCUAAUCGGAUCAGGGUCAGUCGGGUCCUAAGGCUCAGCCGAACGGCGAUGCCGAUGGCAGAAACGGUUAAUAUUCCGUUACUACCUUCAGGAGUGACGUGGAGACGCAGUAGUGACAGUGCCGCCAUCUGACGGAAUAGAUGGUUGAAGGGUGUAGGAGUCGAUCAUGGCAGGCAAAUCCACCAUGAGAUCCGAACCUGAUAGUAUGCCGCGUCCUUCGGGACAAGGCAAUAGUGCGCGUAAGCAUGCUGCCGAGAAAAUCCGCUAAACUUAAUCCUGCAGGUACCCGUACCGCAAACGGACACACGUAGUCGGGAUGAAUAUUCUAAGGCGCUUGAGUGAUUCACGGUUAAGGAACUAGGCAAACUGACCCUGUAACUUCGGGAUAAAGGGUCCCUACCCUUUUAUGGGAGGGCGCAGAGAAUCGGUCCAGGCAACUGUUUAACAAAAACACAGGGCUGUGCCAAAUCGAAAGAUCCAGUAUACAGCCUGACACCUGCCCGGUGCUGGAAGGUUAAGAGGAGAUGUCAUCGAUAAGAGAAGCGUUGAAUUGAAGCCCCAGUAAACGGCGGCCGUAACUAUAACGGUCCUAAGGUAGCGAAAUUCCUUGUCGGGUAAGUUCCGACCUGCACGAAUGGUGUAAUGAUCUGGACGCUGUCUCAACCGUGAGCUCAGUGAAAUUGUAGUAUCGGUGAAGAUGCCGAUUACCCGCGAUGGGACGAAAAGACCCCGUGAACCUUUACUAUAGCUUAUCAUUGAAUCUGGGCACGUGAUGUGUAGGAUAGGUCGGAGGCUUUGAAGCAGGUACGCCAGUAUUUGUGGAGCCGCUGUUGAAAUACGACCCUUUAUUUGUUUGGAUUCUAACCCGUGGAUACGGGGACAUUGAUUGGUGGGUAGUUUGACUGGGGUGGUCGCCUCCAAAAGCGUAACGGAGGCUUCUAAAGGUGCCCUCCGGCCGAUUGGUAACCGGCCUUAGAGUGUAAUGGCAUAAGGGCGCUUGACUGGGAGACUGACAAGUCGAUCAGGUA